UACCAGACGAUGACCAACCUCUGGAUGGUAUAUACCAGACGAUGACCAACCUCUGGAUGGUAUAUACCAGACGAUGACCAACCUCUGGAUGGUAUACCUGACGGUGACCAUUUGGACAGAUCAGAUGAAGAACUGAGCACAAAUGGGGCAGUCAAGAAAUGGAACUGCAAGGCCACAGGACAUGACAUAAGAAGAGCUGUGGGAGACCACCUCAAGCCUCUGGUAGAGCCGGGGGUGGUGUUUACCACUCCAUCACACCUUCAGCAGGCUGGAAAAGUGAGAUUGAUCCGUUUGAUCCAU